rnacentral:rRNA from 1 species
AUGCUGUCGGCCUCCUCCUGCGCGGCCUCCUUACCCAUCUGCCUUGCCUCCCAAACUUCCCUAGCAAUGAGAGAGCGGUGGGAAGUCGGACAUGGCCGGGCAUCAGCGUGGCGUCAGGUAGCUUUUGACGCGGCCGUGUUGCCGGACUCAUCUAGGAUGGACUGGAGGGGAUCCUCGACCUCAGGUUGUCCUCGGAAUCGGCGUGCUGCACUGCAUACCAGUGGUCCAACUACUCUUGAUGUCGUCGGCCUCUUCAUGCGUGCCUCCUCGUCCAACUGCCUUGCCUCCUUCGCCGUGAGCUUGACCUAG